rnacentral:rRNA from 1 species
CAUGUACGGCUGUCGAGUAAGUCAGAGGUGAAAUCCCACGGCUCAACCGUGGAACUGCCUUUGAUACUGCUCAACUUGAAUCCGGGAGAGGGUGGCGGAAUUCCAGGUGUAGGAGUGAAAUCCGUAGAUAUCUGGAGGAACAUCAGUGGCGAAGGCGGCCACCUGGACCGGUAUUGACGCUGAGAUGCGAAAGCGUGGGUAGCAAACA